UGUAGCUUUGUAUUGUGAUGGUAUCUCCAUUAGUGCAGCCAGAGCAAACUCAGUCUCCUUCUUAGACAUGGGGAUGUUUUUCAACAUAAUCUCUGUGAAAUUCACGAACUGGAAAUUAUCGAAAGCCCUGGAAGGAAUAUUGUCAUCAAAUUUAUGCAUCAUGUCCCAUGGUCCAUCACCAACUCCAACCAGUACUAUCGAUAGCGGAUGCUCACUUGCUUGCCCAAUAGCAUCAAUUGUACUACGCUCCUGAGGACUCAACUGCCCAUUACGUGUAUCUACACUUCUUGUAACCUG
rnacentral:misc_RNA from 1 species